rnacentral:lncRNA from 1 species
AAAAGCUGUCGAGUCACUCCUUUCCCCUGGUAUCUAUCAAAGAAGACCCGCUAAUUGAAAAAAAAAACCGCUCAAAACAAAAAAUUCCUGUCAAAAUCAGCUCACGGUCGACAUCAAAAGCCUCUCUCUUCUCUCUUCUCUCUCUCUCUCUCCGGCUUCGUACGGCGGCGCUGCACCGGCUAAUUGUUCAGACCCGGCUAUUAGCUUCAGGUCGAUCCCUGAACCUUUUUUCUCCUUUGUUUCCGUUUAACGCAGUUAAUUUGUUGUCUAGGGUCGAUUCCAUAGAGCUUACAGUGGAUAACACCGUCGUUCAUAUAUUCCACGAAUCGAGCAACAGAAAGUGCAGUGAUGGCACCAAUUUAAUUUGGGUUCUCGUUAAGCGUCAACGUUUUGUUUAGGAAAAUCAGAAUGUUGAGCCGGACACUUCUCAUUUGUCAAAAUUGAGGCUGCAAUUAGAUCCAGAGCACCAUUUUAGCACCACAAUGACCUGCAUGAGCAUGUUUAGAGAAGUAAAACAAGCCAGUUUUGUCUUGCAAUCUAGGGUGGCAGUGAUGUUUAUAUUGUAGCUUGACUGUUUGAUUACGCAAUAAUGCUUAA